rnacentral:rRNA from 1 species
UAAUACGAAGGGGGCUAGCGUUGUUCGGAAUUACUGGGCGUAAAGCGCACGCAGGCGGUUUGUUAAGUCAGAUGUGAAAUCCCCGGGCCUCAACCUGGGAACUGCAUUUGAAACUGGCAAGCUAGAGUCUCGUAGAGGGGGGUAGAAUUCCAGGUGUAGCGGUGAAAUGCGUAGAGAUCUGGAGGAAUACCGGUGGCGAAGGCGGCCCCCCUGGACGAAGACUGACGCUCAGGUGCGAAAGCGUGGGGAGCAAACAGGAUUAGAUACCCUGGUAGUCCACGCUGUAAACGAUGUCGAUUUGGAGGUUGUGCCCUUGAGGCGUGGCUUCCGGAGCUAACGCGUUAAAUCGACCGCCUGGGGAGUACGGCCGCAAGGUUA